UACAGAGGGGGCAAGCGUUGUUCGGAAUUACUGGGCGUAAAGCGCACGUAGGCGGAUUGUUAAGUCGGGGGUGAAAUCCCAGGGCUCAACCCUGGAACUGCCUCCGAUACUGGCAUUCUUGAGUCCGAGAGAGGUGAGUGGAAUUCCGAGUGUAGAGGUGAAAUUCGUAGAUAUUCGGAAGAACACCAGUGGCGAAGGCGGCUCACUGGACUGGUAUUGACGCUGAGGUGCGAAAGCGUGGGGAGCAAACAGG
rnacentral:rRNA from 1 species